rnacentral:rRNA from 2 species
UCCGUAGGUGAACCUGCGGAGGGAUCAUUACCGAGUACUAUAACUCAUAACCCUUUGUGAACCUUCAUACCUGUUGCUUCGGCGGCGCGCCUCCCGGGGCGUGCCCGCCGGCAUUAUCAGAAUCUCUGUUCGAACCCGACGAUACUUCUGAGUGUUCUAAGCGAACUGUUAAAACUUUCAACAACGGAUCUCUUGGCUCCAGCAUCGAUGAAGAACGCAGCGAAACGCGAUAUGUAAUGUGAAUUGCAGAAUUCAGUGAAUCAUCGAAUCUUUGAACGCACAUGGCGCCUUCCAGUAUCCUGGGAGGCAUGCCUGUCCGAGCGUCGUUUCAACCCUCGAGCCCCCGUGGCCCGGCGUUGGGGACCUGCCCAGGCAGUCCCCGAAAACCAGUGGCGGACCCGACGGGCCCUUCCUUUGCGUAGUAACAUCUGCCUCGCAUCGGGAGCCCCCGGGCUAUCCGGCCUCUAAACCCCCCUCAAGCCCGCUCCGGCGGCACCAAGGUUGACCUCGGAUCAGGUAGGAAUACCCGCUGAACUUAAGCAUAUCAAUAAGCGGAGGA